rnacentral:rRNA from 1 species
UACGGAGGGUGCAAGCGUUAUCCGGAUUCACUGGGUUUAAAGGGUGCGUAGGUGGGCAAGUAAGUCAGUGGUGAAAUCUCCGGGCUUAACCCGGAAACUGCCAUUGAUACUAUUUGUCUUGAAUACUGUGGAGGUCAGCGGAAUAUGUCAUGUAGCGGUGAAAUGCUUAGAUAUGACAUAGAACACCAAUUGCGAAGGCAGCUGGCUACACGAAUAUUGACACUGAGGCACGAAAGCGUGGGGAUCAAACAGGG